UACGUAGGGGGCAAGCGUUAUCCGGAUUUACUGGGUGUAAAGGGAGCGUAGACGGUUAAUCAAGUCAGAAGUGAAAACCCAGGGCUCAACCUUGGGACUGCUUUUGAAACUGAGUAGCUAGAGUGCAGGAGAGGUAAGCGGAAUUCCUAGUGUAGCGGUGAAAUGCGUAGAUAUCACGCAGAACUCCGAUUGCGAAGGCAGCUUACUAAGCCAUAACUGACACUGAAGCACGAAAGCGUGGGGAUCAAACAGG
rnacentral:rRNA from 1 species